rnacentral:RNase_P_RNA from 1 species
GAAGUGGAUCGAGCAGUCGCUCCGAUACUUUGUAUCGGAGAGGAACGUCCGAACUCCACAGGACAGCGUGCCCCGAUAACAUCGGGGGCGUCCAAUCCAGUUAGCGUAGAAUUCUGGAGAGACGACGGAAAGUGCAACAGAAAAGAGACCGCCCGCCACGGUGGGUAAGGGUGAAAUGGUAAGGUAAGAGCUUACCGCAUCUUCGGGUAACCGGGAUGGCAGUGUAAACCCCACGCGGAGCAAGGCCAAGCAGACGCCGUGAAGUUGUCCACUCCUCUGCCUGCGGUAGAGCGGCGUCGGGUAGGCUGCUCGAGGAUCAGAGUAAUCUGGUUUCCAGAUAAAUGACUGCAGCGUAACCACAUUGGUGGUAGCGUACAGAAUUCGGCGUACAGAUCCACUUCGGAA